UCUAGAAGAAGGCUUUCUGGGAUAAUAAGCAAAUAUAUCUUUGGGAUUUUAUGAAAAUGAUAAGAUGGGGGAUACUAUCACUGCAAUUAGCAGAGCUUUUCGUGACCUCCGUGGUUCAUUUGGCAUAUGGGUUUUACAUAUUCAGCACAGCUGUGGCUGGUGAUCUCUCUCUGGCCUUGAGUGAUUGGUUUUUCAAGCCCAAUCUGGAGAAUGGGUUGAGAGCAGAAGAGUCAAACAAGACAACCAGCUCCAAAGAUUUGUCUCCCAUUGUUCUGGUACAUGGAAUCUUUGGUUUUGGUAAAGGGAGAUUAGGUGGCCUGUCUUAUUUUGCUGGGGCAGAGAAGAAGGAUGAAAGGGUUCUUGUGCCUGAUUUGGGGUCAUUGACUAGUGUUUAUGAUAGGGCUCGAGAAUUGUUCUAUUAUUUGAAAGGAGGCCAGGUUGAUUAUGGGGAAGAACACAGCCGGGCCUGUGGGCAUUCUCAAUUUGGAAGAAUUUAUGAACAAGGGCACUACCCUGAGUGGGAUGAGGAUCAUCCAAUUCACAUCGUGGGACAUUCGGCUGGAGCACAAGUAGCCCGUGUUCUGCAGCAAAUGCUGGCCGACAAGGCAUUCAAAGGACAUGAAAAUACGUCCGAGAAUUGGGUCUUAAGCAUAACAUCGUUAUCUGGAGCUUUCAAUGGCACAACAAGAACCUACCAAGAUGGAAUGCAGCUUGAAGAUGGGAUAUCCUUGAAAACCAUCUCCCUGCUCCAGCUUUGCCGCAUUGGAGUGAUAAUUUAUGAUUGGUUUGACAUACCCUGGCUGAAGGCAUACUAUAAUUUUGGGUUUGAUCAUUUCAACAUCUCCUGGAAGAAAAGUGGCAUUUGGGGUCUUGUUGAUUGCCUUAUGGGAAAUGCCGGUCCAUUUGCUUCCGGGGACUGGAUACUUCCUGACCUCACUAUCCAGGGUGCUAUCAAGGUGAACAGCCACUUACGUACAUUUCCUAACACGUACUACUUCAGCUAUGCCACAAAGCGCACGAGGAAAAUUAUGGGUGUUACAGUACCUUCCGGCAUACUUGGAAUACAUCCUCUACUGUUUAUCAGAGUACUGCAAAUGAGCCUAUGGCGACACCCUACUGAUGUCUCGCCCCCUUACAAAGGCUACAGGGAUGAGGACUGGUGGGAAAAUGAUGGAGCACUCAACACUAUCUCCAUGACUCACCCUCGUUUGCCCGUUGAACACCCAAGUCAGCAUGUUGUAAAGGAUUCUGACUGCCAACCACUGCAACCAGGGAUCUGGUAUUAUAAGAUUGUGGAAGGUGAUCACAUUCUUUUCAUUAUAAAUCGGGAAAGGGCCGGAGUCCAAUUUGAUUUGAUAUACGAUGGCAUAUUCGAGCGCUGCAGGAAGCAUGUCUUUAGGAAACUACCAACAUUACCCGAUAAGUGACUCUGAUCUCUAGGUAUCACGACGUUUCUCUAGCAAUACACGACAAAGUUGAAGAAAUAGGAGAAUCUAGACAUCAUAAGCUGUAGUAGUAUUGUACUAAAAUUCUUUAUUCUUCUCUUUUUCUGCCCUCUUUUAAUCUAGGAAGAAGAAUACUAUCGUUUCCCCAUUGUGCAUCUUUGUCGUUCCCCGUAUAUUUCCUGCGUGUAUUCUGAUCAGGCAUCGCCCCCGCCCAAGUUUGUAUGUAGGAAAGGGAAAACGCCACUCCAGUAGACUCAGCAAAGGCAAUGUGUUGUUUGGAAUUGUGUUGGAAGAAUAGUUUCCUGCAACUGAGUUGAAGGAAUGUGGGAAAUAUCCAUUGUUGAUUCUUGUGGUUGGGAGGGGACUAAAAGUUAAAAAAUUAAUUAUAUUCUUUUUGGUUCAGUUUUAGGCAGUUGUAGAUGAGAUGAGCAAUUGUAUGGGUCAUCCCAUUUCCUACACUUUACUGUCUUCACUCAAAGGAUUAAUCCUUUCAAGUUUAAUAUGUAUAAAUUCUUCUAA